AAGGAAAAAUCACUGACAUUGAAAAUAAUUGGACGUUCACUUUACGAAGGACAUACCAUAUAAAGAAAUAACAUAGUGUUUUGGAAACACUAUAAAAGGAUUUUACAAACGUUAAGAAAUAAAAGUUGAACACAUUUGAACAUAUAAGCCGAGUCAUCCUUAUAAUGAUUCAAAGGUGCCUGAAGUUAGAAACGAGAUAGUCGUACAUUUAACGUUUUUUACAAUAAGUGGGGAUAAAGAGAUUAUCCUUCUAGAAAGAGGAAAAACCAAACCAUUGAGUUUUUCUUACGUGCUGUUUUCGAAAAGUUUCUUUUUAACUGUCAAAAAAAAAAACAACGGUGACAUAAUUAUCAUCGAUCUAUCUGUUUUACGUAGAACAAAGACAUCAUGUUUCUUUAUUCGCGGUUUCAAUUCCUGUUAUAGGAGUAUUCUUGUGUGUGGCUUGUGCGGUAGUGCUUAUAAAAAAGUGUGUCGACCUUACUUUAGUAUCAUUCGAGAUAAGCGUCGCGAGGCGGCGCUUUCUGACGUAUCGGUAUUGACAUCGUCACGAUCGAGAGAAAGAGAGAUCUCCGGUAACAUAACAUUUGACAUUGUGCAACGAAAAUACAAACAAUAGAAGAUCUAAGAAUUCGGGUUUAAUCACUUUGAAAAAUUUUGUUUAGUGCUCGAGAAGAAAUUAAAUAAAUUUGACACACGCCUCGGUGUCUAGGUGUGAAAGGCCAUUUAUUGAUUAUUAUAAUUCAAGGUUGUGACAAGAUAAAAUUGAAAGUCAUGUAUAACAAUUACGGAAAAAGUUCUUUCAAUUACGGAUGGAAAGCAGAAGUAAUGGAGCCAGAGUUAAUACGACAACAAGUGAAAGAAAAUGAACUCGGAGAAAAAGGUUCAGGUAUCAGAGCACGGGGUGAGAUUCAAGAUUUUAAUGCGUUAAGAUUGGAAUGUCUUCAAACCGGACGACUCUUUGAGGAUCCAGAAUUUCUAGCGGCCGAUUCAUCUCUGUACUUUUCUAAAAGGCCGGAUAGGUACAUAGAAUGGAGGAGACCGAUGGAAAUCGCGGACGACCCACAACUUUUCGUCGAAGGUUUUUCAAGAUUCGACGUUCAACAAGGCGAAUUAGGCGAUUGUUGGUUACUCGCAGCAGUUGCAAAUCUCACGAUGGAUUCGAAUUUGUUCUUCCAAGUUGUACCGGAAGAUCAAAGCUUUCAAGAAAAUUACGCUGGAAUUUUUCACUUCAGAUUUUGGCAAUAUGGUAGAUGGGUGGAUGUUGUUAUCGAUGAUCGUCUACCUACCUAUAACGGUGAAUUGAUAUAUAUGCAUUCCGCCGAAAGCAACGAAUUUUGGAGUGCUCUUUUGGAGAAAGCUUAUGCUAAACUUCAUGGAUCCUACGAAGCUUUGAAAGGAGGUACAACGUGCGAAGCGAUGGAAGAUUUUACAGGUGGUGUUACCGAGAUGUAUCAGAUGGAGGAAGCUCCACCGAAUUUAUUCAGUGUUCUUUUAAAGGCAUUCGAAAGAAAUUCUCUUAUGGGUUGUUCCAUCGAGCCUGAUCCAAACGUAUUGGAAGCGGAAACGCCUCAAGGACUGAUCAGAGGUCAUGCCUACAGUAUUACUCGUGUCAAGUAUGUAGAAAUUCAGACGCCAAAUCAAUAUGGUAGAAUACCAUUGCUCAGAUUACGAAAUCCAUGGGGUAAUGAAGCAGAAUGGAAUGGUCCGUGGAGCGAUAAGUCACCGGAAUGGAGAUUUAUUCCUGAUCAUGAGAAAGAAGAAUUAGGAUUAACUUUCGACAUAGAUGGCGAAUUUUGGAUGUCUUUCCAAGAUUUUACACAAUACUUUACGCAACUUGAGAUUUGUAACUUGAAUCCAGAUUCUUUGACGGAAGGUGAUAUUAAUGCUGGGAAGAAACGAUGGGAAAUGAGCGUUUUUGAAGGAGAGUGGGUACGUGGAGUUACAGCCGGUGGUUGCAGAAAUUAUUUAGAAACGUUUUGCCACAAUCCUCAAUAUCGAAUAACAUUGGAGUAUCCUGACGAGGAUGAUGAUAAAUGUACGGUUAUAGUUGCAUUGAUGCAAAAGAAUAGACGAGCCCAACGACGGAUGGGUGCAGACUGUCUUACUAUUGGAUUUGCUGUAUACUAUUUGGAACAUCCUGAAAGAUUACCAAAACCAUUGGAUAUGAAUUUCUUCAAAUAUAAUGCAUCCGUAGCACGAUCACCGGCUUUCAUUAAUUUGCGUGAAGUUACAUGCCGAUUCAAAUUGCCACCGGGAGUUUAUUGUAUAGUUCCGAGCACUUUCGAUCCUAACGAAGAAGGUGAAUUUUUACUGAGGAUAUUCUCAGAGAACAAGAAUAAUAUGGAAGAAAAUGAUGAGGAAGUCGGAGUUGGAGAAGUUGAUGAUAGGGUGAUUAAUCCCAAAGGCACUAACACGGAUGCGGAUGAUGAAAAAGUCCGUGAAGAACCUGAACCUGAUCGAAAUAUCGAAAAAGUACGAGAAUUCUUUAGAAAGCUCGCUGGUGAUGAUAUGGAAGUGGAUUGGAUGGAACUUAAAGAAAUCUUGGAUUUUGCAAUGAGAAAAGAGUUACCACAGUCGACGCGUCGUAGCGAGGCACAUGAACCUGAAUCAGUGCAAGAAGAUGGUUCUUUUAUCGACACUGUCAUCUCACUGCUGUGCGGCAUUGUUUGUAAUAAUGAACAAUACAAUAAAUCUGUAGAUAUGCAAGAUAGAGGAUUUACUAAGGAUGUAUGUCGGAGUAUGGUAGCUAUGUUAGAUGUAGAUCAUUCUGGGAAGCUUGGAUUUGAAGAAUUCAGAACCUUGUGGAAUGACAUUAGGAAAUGGAGGGCUGUUUUCAAAUUAUAUGAUAAAGAUGAGUCCGGAUAUUUAAAUGCGUUUGAAUUACGACAAGCUUUGAAUAGUGCAGGAUACAGACUGAAUAACCACAUUUUAAAUAUUUUGGUACAUCGCUAUGGAACUAAGGAUGGGAAGAUAAUGUUUGAUGAUUAUAUAAUGUGUGCCGUACGAUUAAAAACAAUGAUCGAUAUGUUCAGAGAGAGAGAUCCUGAUCAAACUAAUUCAGCUACAUUCACAAUGGAAGAAUGGAUAGAGAAAACAUUAUAUUCUUAAAAUAUUGUGCCUUAUUGUAAAUGCAUUUUUUCAGAUAUUACCUUAUAAAGGCAAUGCAGUUUUUCUGAUUGAGAUGCCAAUAUAAAAGCUCAUAUAUUUUCAAAGCCAAAGGAUUAGCAAAAUUCAAAUUUUUACUCGUUGACAGUGCUGCUCUUCUGCAUACCUGAAUUUAUAAUUCUUUAGACACAGGAAUACAUUCUAAUAGAAUUAUAUUAAAUAACUAUAUCGUUAAUGAAUAAAAAUUUUUUUUUAAGAUUUGAAAUGCUCUAGUUUGUUAUAUAAUUAAAUUUUUAAGAAACGCUAUUUAAAGUGAAAUAAAAUAAAUUUAUAAAAAAUAA